rnacentral:misc_RNA from 1 species
UAGACACCGACCUAGCAGGUGAAGAUUUAGAUUGAUCAAUUUAUCUGAAACUAUUCGCAUAAAAAGGAACUAUAUUCAGGAAGAAGUUUUUGAUUUUGGAGUUAUACUUCUGGGCCAACUGGUGUCUGGUCGCAAGUAUGGUCAAUUAGCAGUUAGGUUACAAAUUAUAUGGGUAUCUUUUUAUGCAAAUUGUACUUGCUGAUGUCCUUAUGUAAAUUGAAUCUUGCCUAUGGACCUCUUGACAGGAGUGGUAGAUAAUUAGCCAUUUUAUAGUAGAUUGGGAAUUGUGAGUCCAUUAGAUUUUUAUUUUAUGUCAUCCUGGUUAUAAUAUAGCAUUAUUUUGCUGGUUAAGUUACAUAUGGAUGCUGAUGACUAAUGAGUUUUGAAUUAUGAUUUGGAAAGAACAUUAUUACUUCAUUUUUCUGCUUAUUGGUAUAUUUGUUAUUUGAUUCAAACUAUGGAAUUGGCUGCUGCAAAUUGAUAUCCGUUAGUUCUCUGUUAAGUGCUUUUGUUGGACUGCGAGAAUCAAGAUUUCUUGCUUCUUGCAUCUUCAAGCUAUAGAAUACUGUUUGAAAUCUUCACCAUGUGUUGCCCCUAAUCCCAUUGAACUCAGCUUCCUGGAAAAUUGUUGUUCCAUAUUCUAAUGAAUUCAAAUCAAAAUGUUCGUGUUUUCUUGCCUCGCCCUUUUUCCUUCAAAUGUCAACAGGACUGUUUUUCAUUCAUUUUCCUCAGAUAGGGUUCACAUACUGUUUUCUUUUCUACUAAUAAUCAAUCUUUUCUUUUUUUGGUUAAGAGAAUUUUGUCUGGCAGGCUGUAGCUUGUUACUCUCUUGGUACAUUUAUGUGUUUUACUGGGAUCAUCCUUUAACUUCUGAAUUAUGUUGCUAAUCCAAAAUCAUGACAUGUAACUACUGAAGUUUCUUUAUCCUACUUGAUUCCAUUGAAAUGAAACUAUAGUUAGAAUAUUGUCAAUUACGUGUUUUAUACCUCAUAUAUUCUGUGCUACAGGCUAAUUUAUUUGCCUGUGCUAUCCUUUAUUGCUGACAUUGGAUUGCAUCCCCAUGUUGCCUUAUAAUAAACUUUCUUUUCAGUAAAAGAAAAAAAAAAUGUCUGUAGAUUCCAGGCUAUUUGCUCACCUACAGAUAUUGUUUCAUCAACUAAAAUUUUUUUUAUUGUUUUAUAAGUAACAUCCCUACAACCUACAGAUAUUGGUAUAUUUGUUAAUGUCCCCAUUUAGGGAUGCUUGCUUUUGAAACUGUGUUCAUGAGGAUCUAGCUAGUGUAGCUACCAUUUUAAACAACUAAUGUAAAUGCAACAUGAUGACCUUUUAAUUUUUUUGAUUUGGAAUUAAGCUAUUACUUUAAUGCUCUUUAACACAAUGAGUACAUUUUCCUUUUCUCAUUUACAGUACGCUUGGCCAGGGUCUUCAAACCAGCACAUAUCCAUUAGAGGUUAUAUUUUCCAUAGCACUGGCUAUAUUGGGGCUCAUUCUUUUUGCACUUCUGAUUGGGAAUAUGCAGGUAAAUGGGACUAUUUUAUUUUGGUUCUGUUUCUGCUAUGGAAACUCCAUUCACAACCUUUUUUAAUUUUUUUUUUAUUCAUUUAAAGUAUAUGGCUGCAUUUGUGGCAGUUAUGAUUAUUGGAUUUUUUACGUUCUUAAAGUUGGUUAAGAAUGAUAGUGAUAAGGAAAGAACAGAAUUCUGAAAAUUGUAAUUCCUGUUGUUAUUAUUAUUUUGGGUUGGAGAAACUCAACUCUAUUUUCAUGAUUAUGACUGAAGGCCUGCCUUCUAAUGUUUCUUUCUUCUGCUCCAUCCAUUACUACUCAAGUCUGUAGUUCAAACUUAGUUACUAGCAUUUUAGUAUUAUUUCAAAAGUGGCUUAUAUAUUAUACUUUAGUAAUUAAAGAAUAUGUAUAAUUUCAAUUGGGAAAAUGUAUCUGUAUAUUCACAUGAUCCGGUGGUCUAAAUCAAGCAAGGUAUUCACUUGAUUGUGUUUGUAUGUUGUGCCUGCCCGUGCACAAAUAUAUUUAUGCUUAUGCAAUAUCCAUGAAGAUGAAGGGGAAAUGAAGUCAUUUGAAGUCUACAAGAGGAUUAACACUUUCCAAUUGGCGUUAGAUGUAAAUUUUCUGUUAAUUACUGAUUUGAAAAGUUAUUUGUGAUACUAAAAGUAUGAUAUAUAAAAUAUUGCUAAAAUUUUCAGAGUUCUGCUAUUGUACAGACUUAUCUUCAGUCACUUACUAUACGAUUAGAAGAAAUGAGGGUCAAAAGGCGUGACUCAGAGCAAUGGAUGCAUCAUCGGUUGCUUCCACAAGACCUUAGGGAACGGGUGAGGCGCUAUGACCAGUACAAGUGGUUAGAAACACGUGGGGUGGAUGAAGAGACUUUGGUGCAGAGCCUACCGAAGGAUCUUAGGAGAGACAUCAAACGUCAUCUCUGUUUGGCAUUGGUGAGAAGGGUUCCUCUAUUUGAGAAUAUGGAUGAGAGAUUGCUUGAUGCCAUUUGUGAGCGGCUUAAACCUUGUUUAUUUACAGAGAGUACUUAUAUCGUUCGAGAAGGAGAUCCAGUUGAUGAAAUGCUUUUUAUCAUACGUGGUCGCCUUGAGAGUGUAACUACAGAUGGUGGGAGGAGUGGUUUCUUCAACCGCAGUAUGCUGAAGGAAGGAGAUUUCUGUGGGGAGGAGCUUUUAACAUGGGCAUUGGAUCCUAAAUCCGGUGCCAAUCUCCCAUCUUCUACCCGGACAGUGAAGGCAAUAACAGAAGUAGAGGCUUUUGCCCUCAUAGCUGAAGAGUUGAAAUUUGUAGCUAGCCAGUUUAGGCGUCUUCACAGUCGGCAAGUUCAACACACCUUCCGUUUUUACUCACAACAGUGGAGGACAUGGGCAGCUUGCUUUAUUCAAGCUGCAUGGCGGCGCUAUUCCAAAAGGAAGAAUAUGGAGCUACGUAAGAAGGAAGAGGAAGCAGAAGCAGAUGAAGCCCAGAGCAAUGCUAGUGGAGGUUCGUACAGCAUUGGUGCUACCUUUUUGGCUACAAGGUUUGCAGCCAAUGCUCUUCGUGGUGUUCAUCGAAAUCGGAAUGCGAAGACUGCUAGGGAAUUGGUGAAACUACAGAAGCCUCCUGAACCUGAUUUUAGUGUUGAAGAUGCAGAUUGAUUUGUAAUUUAUGACUCACUUUAUAUGCUGGUGACUGACUUUGUAUUUUAUAUGCUGACCAAGGCAAACUCGACAUAAAAUAUAUACUUUCUACGCUGGAAUUGUCGUCAGAUUCACAAGGCCAUUCAGAUUAUUAGGCUUGCAUUGCCUCAUUUGCCCUGGAGUUUCAACUAUUUUUGGUUUAUUAAGGCUUUGUAGAUUAAAGGCAUAAAUUUAAGCUGCAAAAAAGCCUAAUGCAAGUAUUGGAGUUGUCUUUUUUUAUUUUUAU